UAGCUAGUUGGUGAGGUAACGGCUUACCAAGGCGACGAUCUGUAGCGGGUCUGAGAGGAUGAUCCGCCACACUGGAACUGAGACACGGUCCAGACUCCUACGGGAGGCAGCAGUGGGGAAUUUUGGACAAUGGGGGCAACCCUGAUCCAGCCAUGCCGCGUGAGUGCAGAAGGCCUCCGGGUUGUAAAGCUCUUUCGGCCGGGAAGAAAUCGCAUGGGCCAAUACCCUGUGUGGAUGACGGUACCGGAAUAAGAAGCACCGGCUAACUACGUGCCAGCAGCCGCGGUAAUACGUAGGGUGCGAGCGUUAAUCGGAAUUACUGGGCGUAAAGCGUGCGCAGGCGGUUUUGUAAGACAGGCGUGAAAUCCCCGGGCUCAACCUGGGAACUGCGUUUGUGACUGCAAGGCUAGAGUACGGCAGAGGGGGGUGGAAUUCCACGUGUAGCAGUGAAAUGCGUAGAGAUGUGGAGGAACACCAAUGGCGAAGGCAGCCCCCUGGGUCGAUACUGACGCUCAUGCACGAAAGCGUGGGUAGCAAACAGGAUUAGAUACCCUGGUAGUCCACGCCCUAAACUAUGUCAACUAGGUGUUGGGUGGGUAAAACCAUUUAGUACCGUAGCUAACGCGUGAAGUUGACCGCCUGGGGAGUACGGCCGCAAGGUUAAACUCAAAGGAAUUGACGGGGACCCGCACAAGCGGUGGAUGAUGUGGAUUAAUUCGAUGCAACGCGAAAAGCCUUACCUACCCUUGACAUGCCAGGAACUUGCCAGAGAUGGCUUGGUGCCCGAAAGGGAGCCUGGACACAGGUGCUGCAUGGCUGUCGUCAGCUCGUGUCGUGAGAUGUUGGGUUAAGUCCCGCAACGAGCGCAACCCUUGUCGUUAAUUGCCAUCAUUUAGUUGGGCACUUUAGCGAGACUGCCGGUGACAAACCGGAGGAAGGUGGGGAUGACGUCAAGUCCUCAUGGCCCUUAUGGGUAGGGCUUCACACGUCAUACAAUGGUCGGUACAAAGGGUCGCCAAGCCGCGAGGUGGAGCCAAUCCCAGAAAGCCGAUCGUAGUCCGGAUUGCAGGCUGCAACUCGCCUGCAUGAAGUCGGAAUCGCUAGUAAUCGUGGAUCAGCAUGUCACGGUGAAUACGUUCCCGGGUCUUGUACACACCGCCCGUCACACCAUGGGAGCGGGUUCCGCCAGAAGUAGGUAGCCUAACCGCAAGGAGGGCGCUUACCACGGCGGGGUUCGUGACUGGGGUGAAGUCGAAACAAGGUAGCCGUAGGGGAACCUGCGGCUG
rnacentral:rRNA from 1 species